UAAUAUCGCUCGCAGGACUCCUGCCGCCCCUACUCGGAACAAACCGAUGUUCCGACCAUUCGAGCUUCGUCCCUACGUUUGCGUCGCCGAGCAAAGAUGACCAAUUAUUGCUGCCCAGUUUUGUUGGUGCUGAAGAGAUUGAUGUGGCGCAGAGAAAUAUGAGAAGUGUUGAAUGCCAGACAGAGCUAACAACUGCAGAUCUUGCCCUGCUGGAGGACAUGCUGCAUCCGAGGUGUUCUACACCACUGCCCAUCGAUGACUCCUGUGAUAAAUCCUAUGGAUUUGUAGAUAAUUCACAGGACUGUACUUAUGAGCCU